CAGAGAUAGUAUCUUUCCCGCCAUGACGUCGUCCAUAAUGGGUAAUCACCGGAGGUCGAUCAUCCUCAGCCAUCUGGAUGAUAUAUGGGUGUGAUAUAGACCGGAACCACUCCAAAUAUGCAGGAACACAGGUUCCAACAUCAGUUGCUAAUACUACACCCUGUACGAGGUUAGCAUUAUAAUCUAACCAUCGAUGGUCGAUAUCAGAUGUGGAUGGAUCGCCAUGAUGAACGGUGGUUGGGUGACUAGGGAUACACUGUAUAUAUCCAAACUGUCUGAGUAUACAUUCAGGCAAAUGCAUUUGCCUACAACCGCUCAACCGAAUGUACCCUGAAAAUAAUGAAAUCCACUCAAAAGGACGCACCGCUCUAUGCUCUUCAUAGGGCAUCCAUUGAACAACACCAACACAAAGGCUAUCUAAUUGCAUCUGAACUGAGGCAAGUGUGGACAACCUACUCCCGACCACAUAUUUCAUACACAGUGGCUGAUCCUCAACAUAGUCAUCCCGAAGCUGUCGGUGUCCAAUACUCGGAAAGUGCUCAUAUAUCCAUGAUGAAAAUAACGUGACAUACCCAGCUAACUGUUUAGUAUUUGCAUAGGAACCAUCUCCCAACUGCUUAAACAUGUGGUCAAAGUAGCUGCUGCCCACGAGUAUCCUCCGGUGUGCCUUAAAUCUACAAAUAAUCCCAAGUAGGAUACACUAACCGACGUAGCAGUCUUAUCUGCAAAGAUGGUGCAACCUACUAGGUGUAGCAAAUAUGUCCAGCAACAGUCCAUUGUCUCCUGGUACAUGCGUCCUCAUACAUCUCCCUCAACCAGCUUAGACGCACAUGUCCACCUCGACAAUGACGAGUCUCAGCAGUUGCUACUCCCCGAUCUAUACGAAGUGAAUCAACAAACAAAUUGGUCAUCGUAGCUGUAUCCAAGCUCAGAUACGUGUAGAAUUGCCCCAUAAUUGGGAGGUGCAACAAAUUCGACACAUCAUCCAAUGUGAUGGUCAACUCACCUACAGGCAGAUGAAAUGAAUUUGUCUCUGGGUGCCACCUUUCUACAAAGGCACACAACAGUCCUUUGUCUAUCGUGUCAUAGCUUGCCCUAACAAGUGCAGCUAAACCUGACAACUCCACUGCAGGUAGUAUCCGAGGAUGAGGAGCACCUAUCUUACUCAUUUUUCGGCCAUGAGACACCAAUUUUAACUCUCCUCGAUCCUAAUUUAACCAACCAAAAUCAUAUACAAUUUAAUGAACGAAAGUCAUAUCAAAUUAACAAUGAACAAGUAUCAUAUUACAACAUAUUUACUUACCACACCAUUCCAUAAUUGCAUGGCCACAUGGUCUUCAUAACCUGUCAAUAGUGUCCCAUCCCGUGGACCUCCAGGAUAACCUUCACCUUCUAUUUCAGGUGCGUCUUUAUCCUCCACCUCCAUUUGGGGUUCAGCUUCUUCAAGCUCAACAUCAACAUCUUCUGCAUCUUCAUGUUCAACAUGUUCUUCAUCUAACAUGUCUUCUUCUUCUUCUAACAGAGGCUGUGGGACGUAGACGAUCACCUUGUGAACCUCCUCCCCUAGUCUUCA
rnacentral:lncRNA from 1 species